rnacentral:misc_RNA from 1 species
UUGUUGCCUUCGGAGAACUUGACCGGUGCAUACACAAAAAAAAACUGCCGAGGAGCUCUCCCCUCGGCUACACCGGCCCCGGCCGAUGCUCACCCUCUGGGGGUGUCGGUUGUGUGCUGGAAUACGGCUUCGGAUGAUGCCAAGGAACACGGGCAGGCAGGGAGCGAGCUAAUCUCGGGAGCUGUGCUGACUGUCAACCCCAAUGAAA